GUAGGUGGCAAGCGUUGUCCGGAAUUAUUGGGCGUAAGGCGCGCGCAGGCGGGUCCUUUAAGUCUGAUGUGAAAGCCCACGGGCUCAACCGUGGAGGGUCAUUGGAAACUGGGGGACUUGAGUACAGAAGAGGAAAGCGGAAUUCCAAGUGUAGCGGUGAAAUGCGUAGAGAUUUGGAGGAACACCAGUGGCGAAGGCGGCUUUCUGGUCUGUAACUGACGCUGAGGCGCGAAAGCGUGGGGAGCAAACAGGAUUAGAUACCCUGGUAGUCCACGCCGUAAACGAUGAGUGCUAAGUGUUAGGGGGUUUCCGCCCCUUAGUGCUGCAGCUAACGCAUUAAGCACUCCGCCUGGGGAGUACGGCCGCAAAGGCUG
rnacentral:rRNA from 1 species